CUACUACUCUCUCCGUCCGAAAAUACUUGUCAUUGAAAUGGAUGUAUCUAGAUGUAUUUUAGUUCUAGACACAUCCAUUUUGAUGAUAAGUAAUCCGGACGGAGGGAGUAUUAU
rfam:Triticum aestivum genome assembly, contig: Triticum_aestivum_CS42_TGACv1_scaffold_424574_5BS